GAGUUUGAUCGUGGCUCAGAGUGAACGCUGGCGGCAGGCCUAACACAUGCAAGUCGAACGGCAGCACAGCAGUAGCAAUACUGUGGGUGGCGAGUGGCGGACGGGUGAGGAAUACAUGGGAAUCUACCCUGUCGUGGGGGAUAACGUAGGGAAACUUACGCUAAUACCGCAUACGACCGAGAGGUGAAAGCGGCGGACCGCAAGGCGUCGCGCGAUUGGAUGAGCCCAUGUCGGAUUAGCUAGUUGGCGGGGUAAAGGCCCACCAAGGCGACGAUCCGUAGCUGGUCUGAGAGGAUGAUCAGCCACACUGGAACUGAGACACGGUCCAGACUCCUACGGGAGGCAGCAGUGGGGAAUAUUGGACAAUGGGCGCAAGCCUGAUCCAGCCAUGCCGCGUGAGUGAAGAAGGCC
rnacentral:rRNA from 1 species